UUGACCUCGGAUCAGGUAGGGAUACCCGCUGAACUUAAGCAUAUCAAUAAGCGGAGGAAAAGAAACCAACAGGGAUUGCCCCAGUAACGGCGAGUGAAGCGGCAAGAGCUCAAAUUUGAAAGCUGGCUCCUUCGGGGUCCGCAUUGUAAUUUGCAGAGGAUGCUUCGGGAGCGGUCCCCAUCUAAGUGCCCUGGAACGGGACGUCAUAGAGGGUGAGAAUCCCGUAUGGGAUGGGGUGUCCGCGCCCGUGUGAAGCUCCUUCGACGAGUCGAGUUGUUUGGGAAUGCAGCUCUAAAUGGGUGGUAAAUUUCAUCUAAAGCUAAAUAUUGGCCGGAGACCGAUAGCGCACAAGUAGAGUGAUCGAAAGAUGAAAAGCACUUUGAAAAGAGAGUUAAAAAGCACGUGAAAUUGUUGAAAGGGAAGCGCUUGCGACCAGACUCGCUCGCGGGGUUCAGCCGGCAUUCGUGCCGGUGUACUUCCCCGCGGGCGGGCCAGCGUCGGUUUGGGCGGUCGGUCAAAGGCCCUCGGAAGGUAACGCCCCCUCGGGGGCGUCUUAUAGCCGAGGGUGCAAUGCGACCUGCCUGGACCGAGGAACGCGCUUCGGCUCGGACGCUGGCAUAAUGGUCGUAAGCGACC
rnacentral:rRNA from 1 species